ACCCAUUUACUUGUAAGUACUUAGGUAAGUAUAAGUUAUAUAUGCAAAAACAAAACUAAAAAAAAAAAUGUAUAUAUUUACAUAAUAUGUACCUACUAGUGUUUCACACAUUUUUUUCAUUACUUUAGGUAUAGCUAUUAAAACUAUAAGCUAUUACAAGCUAGUAUAUACUAUAAAUAAUUACAUAAAUUAAAAAUUGUAUUAUAAAAAUACAUUCAUCGCUCCGCUGAAAUCUAAAAGGCUUACAGGAGUGGAUCUGACCCCCCAAGGAGUAUGAUUGUUCAAGUCAUAUAUGAGAACUAUAAUAAAUUAAGGGCAUCCCUUCACGUCUUCUUUUGAGCCACUUCGACCACUGAACACUGACGUCCUCAGAUUACGUUAUUUUAAUUAUGAUACUUUAUACAAAUUAAAAAUAAGACAAAAGAGGUGAGCAUACUUUUACAAUAUUGCAUACUAAAAAGAUACAACAAAUAUAAUAAUGUUUGAACUCUUUAUUAAAUUGAUUUCGAAUAUCCAAAUUGUUUAGACAUAGGUAACAUAAAACUUGCCCUGAACGCCACUGCAGAAGUAAAAGUCAGAUGCGCAUACGUCCAAUAUAAUUAUUACUUACAAUAUUAUAAAUCUGUUUAUGCUAUGUACCUUAAUGUAUAUACAUAUACCUAAGUAUAGCGGUUUCGCCGUACACGCCACAGCGUAAUAAUAUUAUAUCCUAUCUAUUUAUAUAAUCGUAGAAAUUGUACACAUUUUAUUUCCUCUAAGGCCAAUGGACUGCCUAUGUAUAUAAUAACUAAUAAGUGCCAAGUGGUUGUGUCGUACGCGAUCUUGGAUCUGUCAGCAACCGGCAAUAAUAUCAUUUCACACGCGAUAAUGUAUUGUAAGUUUUCAUUAUAUUUAUUAGUAUUAUUAUUAUUAUUAUUAUUAUACAUUCUGUACAGCCUGUGUCAACAAAUCAAGUCAAUGUUUACUCUGCGUUUGUCAUCGACGGUCGUCGUGCGCUUAUUUUACAAGCCCAUUCGGGUAUAGGCCACUAUAUACAGUUAAACUAUACGGGUGCAAUUAUUCAAAAAAAAAAAACCACACGCACAUUAAAUUUUAUAAUAUACAAUAUCCUGUGUUAUUCACUUCCUGUAACAAAAACGCCAAAACGAAUGUAUAGACCACCGGUGGUCGGGGGUAGAGCACGUUGCAGUCUACUGCUAUAUAGGUAGUUUAAAAACAACUACAAUAUACAAACAUAAUAUGAUAUACCAUAUUAUACACACGGUAAUAUACUGCACCUCAACACCUCGGCGAUAUAGGUAAGCAAUAAAAAUUAAAAUGUCAUUCGAUACGGCUGCAAUAUCCGUGCAGCCCCGUGACGAUUGUAAUGUAGCUAAUAGCUAUAUAAUAUCAGUCGUGCAUAAUCGCAAUAGGUACAAAAUUAUUUCAUGUACCAUUGGGUUGACACACAGCAGAUAGAAUACUAAAACACUAGUAGGUAUAUAUGAUAUAUGGGCUAAAUUAUAUGCAUGGCGGCGGAGGGUGGGUGAACUAGGUUUGAUAUUAUUUUUAUAGCUCGAGGGACAACAACUAUCGCUACGUCGUUACCGAAUCAUAAAAUGAUUUUCUACUCCCGGUUCUGCAGCAAUUUCCCGGAUAAUUUGAAACCUGGUGAAGUUCUAAACGUUUCAACCACCAUACCCCGGAUUGGGCCGCGGGUUAAUAGCCCUGCAGCAUUGCGGUGCAGGACGAUUGGAAACUUUUAGCCUGUUUGGUAUUCAAAAUCCAUACAACAUAUUUUGUGCACUCGAUAUUCUUAAGAAUAUAGACCAGUCAUUCGCUCACAAUUCGAUACAAAGUAGAACACGGACGAUAGGUCGCCUCUGAGGGGCUAAUAAAUUAAAUACAUAGAAUUAUAUAGGAUUCUAUUGAUUCACAUAUAUAUUAUGUAAAAUGUGCCUAUACGGAAGCCAGAACCUUACUAUGCGUUCCGAUUUGAUUUUUAACGUUAAUAAUAUAACGGUGAUGAUAACAAUUUUCAUAGAAACAUAAAAUAUGUCAUCUCUGAGGUUUUUCCCACGACUCGCAUAUGGCGACUUCUUAUCAGGAUCAUGUUUUGAUUAAUACAUGCAUUUUAUGUAUUUAGUUCAGCGGCCAUAGGUACGUCUUCACGUCUGGGCCCUAUUAUUUUCUCAUAUCGUGAAGCCGGUGCUCCCGGAAUUCGUAGCUAUACGUCGUGUCGUAUGCGUGGUAACUACCUAUAUGGUUACAACUGGUAACCAAUAUGGCUUAAAAGUUAAGCUGAAGUAAAUUCUUGGUAUACCCGGUUGCAGUUCGGUUAUUACACGAUACUAAAAAGUUAAUCUCCAAUCACAAUGCUAUAUUUGAUCAACACGGCGCGGUACAAGACGUCGCAGUGAAUGGGCAUUAACACUUACGGGUGAAAAUGGCCAUUCGGAAUUCCUGUCGCAUCACAAUGCAGAGCUAUUUCCACGGUCCAGCUCAUGGUCGAUAGACUGCAGUGUCGUCAUCAGAUGUUCGUUCACGGCGUAUCACUUAAGUACUGUUCUCGAUUAACUAUAUUAUUCGUGAGUGCCGGAAUAGGUGGCUCGUGGUUAUAGACUUAUAGUUACAGUGUAUUUUGAGAAUCAACAACAUAUUUCAUCAGUAGGUAAUAGGUAGGUAUAUAUAUAAUAUCGUUUAUUCUGAACUCUGAAGUAUUAUUCUAGUACUUAUAUGUAACUCAUACUUUAUAUAUAGUAAGUAAUAAAAUUAUGUAUAUUAUGUGUAACUUGUUCUGCGUAAUUGAUUUAUUGUUUGUCAAUUCGCCAUUUUUUCCCUAUUAACAUAAUUCUAACAGUAUUGAAGACAGUAACUAAAAACAAUACUUAGAUGAUCUAAAAAUUUAAAUCAUAAUCUUACAUAUAUAUAUUCUACAAUAAUUUGUAGUUAAUAUGUUAUUUGUAAUUUAACUUUGUCAAUGUGACGUAAAAUAUGUGAAUACGGCCACAUAUAAAUAUAAGUUUUCAGUUUUGCUAAUUUUUAUGUAUUUCAACACGUUAUUGUUUAUAUAUAAGAAGUGCCACGAAUAUUUUAUCUAUAAGUCAAAUGACAAAUAUUGAAGCUAUCCACCCAUCCGCCCACACACAUAAAACUAAAAUAUGUCUAUGCAUAAUUUUUUUUGCUAUAAAAUACAUAUUGAAUAUUAAUAUUAUAUUACAAUAUCAAUGAACAUUAAUGUAACCUAUAUCUUUCUAUAAAAAUAUCUUAUAUAAUAUAUAACAUUACCAUUUAUUAUAAUUAUUACAUACAUGCAAUAAUAAUGUAGCACGCGUUUUGUUAGUUAGUUACAUGCUUGCUGACUCUUAUUAUUUAGAGUAGGUAUAAAUCAGUAUAAUAUACCUAUUGAAUAAUGUUAAUUUUUCACAACAUAUUAUUAUCAACAUAUUACUUAUUCAAUAAUGAUAGUUAAAAUUCAACUGUUAAAUACAAAAAAUAUUUGUAUUCACGAACAAAAUUACCCA